AGAGUGAACGCUGGCGGCAGGCCUAACACAUGCAAGUCGAACGGCAGCACAGAGGAGCUUGCUCCUUGGGUGGCGAGUGGCGGACGGGUGAGGAAUACAUCGGAAUCUGCCUUAUCGUGGGGGAUAACGUAGGGAAACUUACGCUAAUACCGCAUACGACCUACGGGUGAAAGCGGAGGACCUUCGGGCUUCGCGCGAUAAGAUGAGCCGAUGUCGGAUUAGCUAGUUGGCGGGGUAAAGGCCCACCAAGGCGACGAUCCGUAGCUGGUCUGAGAGGAUGAUCAGCCACACUGGAACUGAGACACGGUCCAGACUCCUACGGGAGGCAGCAGUGGGGAAUAUUGGACAAUGGGCGCAAGCCUGAUCCAGCCAUGCCGCGUGUGUGAAGAAGGCCUCGGGUUGUAAGGA
rnacentral:rRNA from 1 species